UGGACGUGUCCUGAAAUGAGUGGU
rnacentral:siRNA from 1 species